rnacentral:rRNA from 1 species
CACGUAAGCAACCUGCCCCAAAGACCGGGACAACAGUGGGAAACCGCUGCUAAUACCGGAUGUGUCCGCCUUUUCGCAUGGAUGAGGUGAGUAAAGCGAAGCAAUUCGGCUUUGGGAGGGGCUUGCGGCCUAUCAGCUAGAUGGCGGGGUAGUGGCCCACCAUGGCGACGACGGGUAGCUGGUCUGAGAGGAUGGUCAGCCGGACUGGGACUGAGAUACGGCCCAG